UACGUAGGUGGCAAGCGUUGUCCGGAUUUACUGGGUGUAAAGGGCGUGCAGCCGGGCUGACAAGUCAGAUGUGAAAUCCCGCGGCUCAACCGCGGAACUGCAUUUGAAACUGUCAGUCUUGAGUACCGGAGAGGUCAUCGGAAUUCCUUGUGUAGCGGUGAAAUGCGUAGAUAUAAGGAAGAACACCAGUGGCGAAGGCGGAUGACUGGACGGCAACUGACGGUGAGGCGCGAAAGCGUGGGGAGCGAACAGG
rnacentral:rRNA from 1 species